rnacentral:rRNA from 1 species
UCGUAACAAUGUUUCCGUAGGUGAACCUGCGGAAGGAUCAUUA